GUGCCUAAUACAUGCAAGUCGAGCGAACGGACGAGAGUGCUUGCACUCUCUGAUGUUAGCGGCGGACGGGUGAGUAACACGUGGGUAACCUACCUAUAAGACUGGGAUAACUUCGGGAAACCGGAGCUAAUACCGGAUAAUAUUUAGCUUCGCAUGAAGCAAUAGUGAAAGACGGUUCUGCUGUCACUUAUAGAUGGACCCGCGGUGUAUUAGCUAGUUGGUGAGGUAACGGCUCACCAAGGCAACGAUACAUAGCCGACCUGAGAGGGUGAUCGGCCACACUGGGACUGAGACACGGCCCAGACUCCUACGGGAGGCAGCAGUAGGGAAUCUUCCGCAAUGGACGAAAGUCUGACGGAGCAACGCCGCGUGAGUGAAGAAGGUUUUCGAAUCGUAAAACUCUGUUGUAAGGGAAGAACAAGUACGUUAGUAACUGAACGUACCUUGACGGUACCUUACCAGAAAGCCACGGCUAACUACGUGCCAGCAGCCGCGGUAAUACGUAGGUGGCAAGCGUUAUCCGGAAUUAUUGGGCGUAAAGCGCGCGUAGGCGGUCUCUUAAGUCUGAUGUGAAAGCCCCCGGCUCAACCGGGGAGGGUCAUUGGAAACUGGGAGACUUGAGUGCAGAAGAGGAGAGUGGAAUUCCAUGUGUAGCGGUGAAAUGCGCAGAGAUAUGGAGGAACACCAGUGGCGAAGGCGGCUCUCUGGUCUGUAACUGACGCUGAGGUGCGAAAGCGUGGGGAUCAAACAGGAUUAGAUACCCUGGUAGUCCACGCCGUAAACGAUGAGUGCUAAGUGUUGGGGGGGUUUCCGCCCCUCAGUGCUGCAGCUAACGCAUUAAGCACUCCGCCUGGGGAGUACGGUCGCAAGACUGAAACUCAA
rnacentral:rRNA from 1 species